UCGGAGGAUAAAACUCAAAUGUUGGGGGAGGAAGAAAUAUUGAACGAGUUUGUCACAGUAGAAACAUUAAGCAUUAUGUCAUCACAAACAAUUUGGAGAAAAACAGAAAAAGGCGGAAACUAAACGGUUUGUCUGUUUCUGGGGUAGAUCUUCGUGUGGGACUUCCGGCGGAAGUAAACAGCAAGGUGCUAGCAGCGUUAGCUUCUUGGUUUCUUUCUGUUUAUAGUCGCUAAGAAGACGGUUUUCCUGUGUGAAAAGGACAUUACUGUGCACACAGUAACGUCUUCGGUUCACCAGAGAGCGACUUAAUGCCGCUACUGGAGAAAUAUUCAACAGCAUCGUCCACUAGCAGGAAGAGAUCGAUAAUUAGCUGAGACUGCAGGAUAAAAGCUGGAAAACCCAAAUCAUCUGGGAACCUCCAGGUUGGUGAUCCCUCCAUUCUGUUCAGUGAAGAGGAGGAGGAGGAAACUCCCACGUGCUCUGUCCAGUUGAGACCCACACAACAGAGAACCACGGAGAGCGCAGCAAACUCGGACAAGAUCCAGAUCUCCUCUGACUGAGGCAGCACCAGAAACCCAGGCUGGGCAGUGAAACACUGAAGAGGACGCAGAUGCAGCCCCUGUUGUCAGCCGCUUUCAACCUAGGAGAACACCAGGACCACAGAUGGAUCUGAUGUCCAGCCACAGUCCAAGAGAGCUGUUUUUGCUGUUUUUUGCAGCUGACAGUCAAGACCAUCUGUGACAACACAAACAAAUAUGCUGCAAAAAAUCAAACAAAUGGAAAAAAAUAUAAAUGGGCUGAAAUAGACACAGAGGAGCUGUAUAAGUUCUUUGGUCUCUUGAUCUACAUGUCCAUGGUGCAACUACCAAGUGUCCAGGACUACUGGAGACAAAAUCAUUUUUGUCUGUUCCAACUCCAGCCAAGAUAAUGACAAGGGACAGGUUCAGGACCAUUAUGUGGAACUUACACCCAAGUGAUGUUCUGUAAUACUCAGUUUUCUGGUUGACGACUUUCCCAGCUGCUCCGUUCCUACUGUGUUACAAAUUAAAGAGAAAAGUUCAAUCAGACGCUAAAUAGUGAAGCAACAAAAAAAUGAAGGAGAAUAAAUCAGUGUAGCUGCCUUCUGCUACACCACAAAAGAUCAUAUUGAGCUAAAUUAGAUAGAAACUGAACAGGACGGCUGCUGGACCAGAUCCUUGUUUACGUUGUAAACAUUGUUCUGCAUGCUCCAGAUCCAUGUUUGUUUUGAAACACAAUUGAUCUUCGUACAGAAUGACCCUUUAUUUCUCCCUCAGUUGUAACAUUUGUUUGCAUCAACAACAAAUCGAUUAAUGGAUUUUAUCAGAGGUUUGUUACCUUCCUGUCUCCUGUACAUGGCAAAGAUUUUUCAAAUUAAAAAAAUACAUUUGAUGUCAAAAAUUAUAUUCCACAUUUAUUAAACAAAGCAGGUCUUUUUUUUAAAUAUCCCAAAAUAUCUAAUAGUUAUGAUUCUACUCAUCAAAUAUCUGAAUAGUUUGUCAUCCAAAUUGCAAACACUGAAGCCAGUUCUGCUUGUAAUUUUUGUAUCGUCCAGCUGUUCUUCAGAAUUUGUUUAUCUGACUCUAAUUUACCUGACAUUGUGUUAAUGCUGGUAAUGUAAUAUAACAGCAGAUUUUAAUGUAUAUGUGAACAUUGAAAGUAACAGCCUAAGUUAAAUGUUUUCACCUAAACAUUCCUGUCCAACACAGCUGCACCGAUUGCAGUUUCCUGGCCGAUCACCGAUUACCGGCUUUUUGAAAAGCCAAACUUGAAUUGGCAGCAAUGGGGUGACUGUUGUUAACUGUGCAGACAUGACCUGGUCGGCCGGUUUGUCAGCCCAGCCUCUCACAGGAGAAAAGAAAAGCACAGUGGUUGAUUUUUAGGCCUUUGCUGAGGUUGAUGACAUCGGUGGAUAAGAUCGGCUCCACAUG